ensembl:lncRNA
AUGCUCAGACCGCGCAAGGGCCUGGGGUGCCUCCGUGGGGACACCUCUGGGAUCCCAAAGCAUGCCCCUGGCCGUGCGUGGGGGAUACUCUCCCCUGGCCGUGUGGGGACACUCUCCCUGGCCGGGUGUGGGGACAAUUCUCCUCAUGAGGUGGGGGUGUCUGGUAGGGGUUCCUGGGGGUGCCCUGUGGGUCAAGCUAAUUUGGAAACGCUGCUACGGCACUGGCCUCCCCAUGUCCAUGACGGUGCAUUGAAGAAAGCCAAGCAGCCCAACUCUGUGGACAGGUGGGCUGGCCAUGACCAUGACAACCAGCAAGCCAAGGGGGCGUUCGGGACAAGAGGGAUGGUGGACAUAGGAGGGCACCUCAGGCUCAGCCCCCAGCAGGCCCAGAGCACACAGCGGCCAGAAAGGAGUUCCGGCCCGGGGUUCCAGGCCUGUUUGCUAUGGAAGAGCAGGCUCCUGGAGCAUCGCCAAGGCCCGUUGCCUGGAUGGAGGCAGUUUCCACACGGCACAUUUGGGUGGAAACGCCUAGAGGGAGAAUCUGCAGAAUCCGGAGGCACCUGACACCGGACGCUUCUCGGGCCCUCCGCAGGUGCAGCCAGGCUUAGGCCCUGACUGUCUCCCAGGUGACCUCCAUCUCUGCCCCACCAGCCCGGCUCUGGUGAGUGACAGUGGGGUCCCCAGGGGGCCAUGGGUGUCUCCAACACUGCCUGGGCCAUGCUGGCUCCUACCCUUCACACCUGGGAUGCGGGCCAGUGGCCCACCAUGGCUCCUGAUCAGCUCUUGUGUCUCAGGCAAGGUCGCCAGUGGCACUGUCGGCUGGGGACAUCCGUGUGGCAGGGGAAGGUGAUCAGGAACUGUUGGGUCUGUCCCUCCUUGAUGACUGGCCUCGGCUCCCUCUGCUCAGAGCCUGUUUCCCCUCUGCCCUCCCGCUGUCCCUGUGGGAUUCCCUGGGUGGAAGAAGCAGGACCUGAUGGCAUAGGCUGGGCACGGGGGCUCACACCUGACAUCCUGGCUAUUUGGGAAGCUGAAGCAGGAGGAUUGCUUGAGCCGAGGAGUCAAAGACCAGCCUGGGCAAAACAGGGAGACCCCAUCGCUAUGUAAAAAUUUUUAAAAGACAGAAUCUGAUGCCACUGCUUUUUUUUUUUUUUUUUUUUUUUUCUGGGGAGAUGGAGUCUCACUCUGUCACCCAGGCUGGAGUGCAGUGGUACGAUCUCAGCUCACUGCAGCUUCUGCCUCCCAGGUUCGAGCGAUUCUCCUGCCUCAGCCUCCUGAGUAGCCGGGAUUACAGGUGUAGCUGGGAUUACAAGCACACAUCACCACACCUGGCUAAUUUUUGUAUUUUUAGUAGAGACGGGGUUUCGCCAUGUUGGCCAGGCUGGUCUUGAACUCCUGACCUCAAGUGAUCCGCCUGCCUCAGACUCCCGAAGUGCUGGGAUUACAGGUGUGAGCCACCACGCCUGGCCUGCUAGUUGUUUUCAGUGAACAUGUGUUCUCUCCAGGCCACAAGGGAGUCACCGUUCUGAAGAUGGAGGUGGCAGCCUCACAGGGUCCCCGUAGAACGGCUCCCAACUGGCCGGGAAGGUGUGCAGAUGGGGUGGGAUAGGCCACAGCAGAGCAGUGAGGCUUCAGGGACUGGCUGCGGCCCCCACCCCACAGGCAGGCACAGGUCCUGGAGGACACACCUGGGUUUUCUCCUCCUCCACCAGGACCCUGGCCUGCAGAAGGCCCCUCACCACGCCAACAGGGGCCUGUAAAAUGCAAACCCAGCUGUAUCCACCAACUGCUUCCACCACGCAGGUGAAGCUGCCUUCUGCCCAGGGCCAGGAGCUCACGGGGCCUGGCCCGGCCACCUCGGCGACUUCAUGGAGCACCACCCACCUUCACCCUUCACUGAGCCCCCACAGCCCUGCGCCUCGGGGACCCACCGCGGCGGGGCUCGCUCCAGGUGGGGGCUGGGCUGUCGCUGGCUCCACUGGGCCCCUCACACAUGCUGUUCCCACCUCUGGAACACGGUUCCUCACUACUCCCGUCACCUCACCCCACUCACUUGGAAAGGCAGACGCCCGUCACAGCCCCACCCCCACCUGUGUAGCUCUGUGUGGGGCCCUGGCCGCGCUGUAAGUUCCACAAGCCUCUGUGGACCGCGCGGGUGGCCAUCUGUCCCCAUGCCCAGCACAGUAGCCAGCACAUCCUGGAGGUGCACGCGGUGUGUGCCAGGUGAGCUGAUGUCUGCAGAGCUGCCACCUGCCACUCUGCCGUCCGCCUGCAUUACCGGGUUUCUGGGCCGUUCCUCCCAUUUAUCCUUCAGAUGGACACAGUCGCUCUCCUCCUUCCUGCUCUUUCUCUGCUCCGAAAGCCGCCUUGCUUCGGUGUCUGGGAUCUGAUGGGUAAAGUCUGAUUUCACACUCAGUCCUCUGUGGUGCCACAGACCGUCCAAGGCCUGGUUCUGUCGGCCCAGCCCCACCCUCAGCUCUCGGCCAGGCCCCUGCGCACUUUGCUGACCGUUAUCAAGGUCGCUUCUGGGAACAAGCGUGUGGCUUCCCGAGGAGAGUGUGAACAUUCCCACAACAUCCAGGGAAUCUCGAGUGUCCUCUUGUGCACAGAAGCAAACACGUGCUCACGGUCACACAAACAGAAAUGUGUCUGUGGACAUGCAUCGCACGUGUGUGCUUACCCACACUCAUGCACACACACAGGCUCGGGCACACAUGCUCACGCGCACAUGUGUGCACACAGGUCAGAGUAGCAGGAGCGCUGCCAGAGCCCCCCAGGCAGCCAUUGCGGGGGCACAGCAAGGUCUCUGCUCAGCUCCCCCGCCAGCCACUGCCCCACCUGUCUGGCUGCCAUGGCCCCAGAGACCCAGCUCACCCAGGCAGUGACAUCCAUUCUAUGUCCCCAAAGCAACUGGAAGCCGCUUGUGGGUGGAGGCUGGGAGACAGGAUCCAAGGCCUCAGGGGCAAAGGUACGGCCUCAUCCCCAACGGUUCUGAAGCUCAUGGUGACCACGGGCUCCCUGGGAGUUUAGGGAAAGUUGUGGCCUUUUCCCAGAGAAACAGGCAGAACCCCCAUCAAGCGACAUGUCGGGGGGGCUGAGAUUUCAGGGCCCUCAGGUGUGCCCUGGUCUAGAUCUCUCCCAGGCCCAUCCCAGUCCCAUGAGGGCAGCCCAGCCCCAAGAACCCACCUGACCUUAUCAGCAGAAGCUGAUGUCACCCAAGGCUGGCAGCGUCU